rnacentral:tRNA from 1 species
GCACCGGUGGUGUAAUGGCGUAAAGCAUUCCCGCCCGGCUAGAGGGAGACGUGCGGGUUCGAGUCCCGCCUGGUGCU